CGUAGUUUCUUCCCAGACCUGAUCUUGCUGAAAUAGAAAUUCCACUCUCCGUGUCCUACAUUGCCACCGAGGUGCAAGGCACAAAGUCCUGCCUUGUUUCCUCAAGGGGAGACAGGCCAAAAAGCGUCUUGCUUCCAGCUCUUUGUGAAGCUAAGAAACAACUCGCUCUCCUCAAUGCUCUUAGAGCCUACCGGGAACAUCUCUUACAAAUGACUUUGAAACGCAGUUUCUUCUCAGCCCUGAUUUCGCUGAAGUAGAACUUCUGCUCUGCCGUGUAAUACAUUUGCCUAGAGGUGGAAGUCACAAUGGCCUGCCUGACUUCCUUAAGAGGAGACAGGCCACAGACCGCCUCGCCUCCAGCUCUUUGGCAAGGUGAGAAAGGACUCGCUUUCCACAGCGCUCUUACAGCCUACCAGGAAACUCUCAUACAAAGGCCUGAAAUGCAGUUUGUUUGCAGCCAUGAUGUCAGCGCCUUGGAACUUCUGCUCUAAGCCAUGUCCCACAUUGCUCUAGAGGUGUAAGACACAAAGCUCUGAGUCAAUGUCGCCACAGGAGACAAGCCAAAAACGGUCUUGCUUCCAGCUCGUGGGAAGCUAAGCAACAACUCACUCUCCACAGUGCUCUUACAGCCUACCGAGAAAAUCUCUCACAAGGGGCUGUGAAAAGCAGUUUCUUUCCAGCCCUGAUCUCGCUGAAUUAGAACUUCUCCUCUGCCAUGUUCUACCUUGCUUUAGAUGUGGAACUGACAAAGCUAUGAGUCAUUGCCUCCAAAGGAGAAAAGCCACAAUGGGUCUUGCUUCCAGGUCUUGGAAGCUAAGAAACAAGUGCUUCUCCAUAGUGCUCUUACAGCCUACUGGGAACAUCUCUCACAAAGGUCUCUUAAACGCAGUUUCUUCCCAGCCCUGAUCUCGCUGAAGUAGAACUUCUGCUCUGCCAUGCACUACAUUGCCAUAGAAGUGCAAGGGACAAUUUCCUGCCUUGUUUCCUCAAGGGUGGCAGGCCACAAAGCGUCUUGCUUCCAGCUCUUUGGGAAGCUAUGAAACAACUCACUAUCCUCAGUGCUCUUACCGCCACCGGGAACAUCUCUCACAAAGAUACGUGAAAUGCAGUUUCAUCCCAUCCCUAAUCUCGCUGAAGAAGAAGUUCUGCUCUGCCAUGACCUACAUUGCUAUAGAGGUGGAAGUCACAAAGGGCUGAGUCAUUGCCUCCAAAGGAGACAAGCCACAAAUGGUCUUGCUUCAAGCUCUGGGAAGCUAAGAAACAACUGGCUCUCCAUAGUGCUCUUAUAUCUACCAAGAACAUCUCUCACA
rnacentral:lncRNA from 1 species